CAGUGUCCAAAUAAAUAUGGACCUAAUUGUAUAUGUAUAUAUAUUUAAGUUUGACCUAGUGAUGUUAGUGAUGGCCAUUAAAUGUUGAAAAAAUACGUGGUCAGAGUGAGUUUGUCUUUGACUUCCUCUGCUUGAUGUGGAAGGUUUUUUUCUUCUUCCUGUCUUUGCUUCAGAGCUGCAAUAGAUUCAUCUUAGCUGUUGUGUGGAGGGAAGCAGAUUUCAUUCUGACAACUAUAAUUAUGACAACAACAUGAAGAUCAUUCAGCUUCAGCUUUACAUAUUAAUCUGUUGUCAAGCUGCAGUGUCCGAUCUACUGACUGAUUUGGGAUCAAAUGUGACCAUAAACUGUGAUCUUGAUGAAAAUGAUGUUUAUUGGAUUUUACUGAAAACAGCAGAUCCUCCAACAGUGAUUCUACAAUCAUUCUCAACACCAACACCACCUUUUUAUCAUAAUAAAACAUUCAGAAAGAAAUAUUCAGUGCAGUUUAAACAUCGUCUGGUUAUUAAUAAUGUGACUGUUAAUGAAUUAGGAGUUUAUUAUUGUAUGAACACUCGCACACCUCCAAAACUCAGCAACAGCACCAGAAUAUACUUCACCGAAUCAAGUCAACUAACUGAGUGUCACAAUCAUACAGCGGUCUACUGUAUUGAUCAGAAUCAAACACAACAUCAGAUUAUCAUCAUAAUAUCUGCUCUGAUGAACGGGCUUCUGAUCAUUGUGGUGAUCC